ensembl:lncRNA
AACUCUUUUCAGUGAGGACUUGCUGCCUAGCUACUCAGAUUGUAGACAAUGGAUAGUUUGGAGCUGUUAACUCCUUCAGGUUGCUUUCCCAGGGCAGCUGGUAUUUGGCUAUUUAUGAAGCUCUUUCCUUUCUUCUUUAAAGAAAGAAAAGGAGUGUUGCCCAUGAAAUAGGAGAUCACUAAAGAUGAGGGGAAGCAGAAGCUUAUCAGCUGCUUUUUCAAAUGUUAUGGAAAGGCUGUUUGUGGCAUACUUUGGUAAGAAGAGAGUGCCUGGAAACUCCUGGUGUGUAAGAAGAACCCAAAGCAUCACACAGGAAAAUGAAAUCAAGUUAAACAAAGAAAAAUCCAAAGUGCCCACCCACAUUUUCCAGAAUAUCAGUGCUAUCAUUGACAGACCUUAGCAGAAGGAAAAGGAGGGGAAGUUUUAACUACUUGUGAAGAUUGGGACAUGCAGAUUUUAAUUUUUAUACGGAAACCAUAUUGCAACUUUAAUAAUGAUGUUUAAAGUUUCUUUAAUGACAUUGUUACUAAGAGUCAACAGAAAACUCAUGGAAAUUUCUGAGUUUUCAACCAGAAAUUUACUACCAGGAAUGAAAGGAGGAGAA